AGAGUUUGAUCCUGGCUCAGGAUGAACGCUAGCUACAGGCUUAACACAUGCAAGUCGUGGGGCAGCGGAUGCUUAGCUUGCUAAGUAUGCCGGCGACCGGCGCACGGGUGAGUAACGCGUACCGAACCUGCCCAUCACACAGGGAUAGGCUUGCGAAAGCAAGAUUAAUACCUGAUGGUCUCAGUUGUAUGCAUGUAUGAUUGAGUAAAGCCUUCGGGCGGUGAUGGAUGGCGGUGCGUCCCAUUAGGAAGUUGGCGGGGUAACGGCCCACCAAUCCUUCGAUGGGUAGGGGUUCUGAGAGGAAGGUCCCCCACAUUGGAACUGAGAUACGGUCCAAACUCCUACGGGAGGCAGCAGUGAGGAAUAUUGGUCAAUGGGCGAGAGCCUGAACCAGCCAAGUAGCGUGCGGGAUGAAGGCCCUUGUGGUCGUAAACCGCUUUUAUCAGUGAAUAAAGUGCACCACGUGUGGUGUCAUUGCAGGUAGCUGAAGAAAAAGGACCGGCUAAUUCCGUGCCAGCAGCCGCGGUAAUACGGAAGGUCCGGGCGUUAUCCGGAAUUAUUGGGUUUAAAGGGAGCGCAGGCGGGAGUGUAAGUCAGCUGUUAAAUAUCAGGGCCCAACUCUGUUAUGCAGUUGAAACUAUAUUUCUUGAGUACGCACAGGGAUGGCGGAAUUCAGGGUGUAGCGGUGAAAUGCUUAGAUAUCCUGAAGAACUCCGAUCGCGAAGGCAGCCAUCCGGAGCGUAACUGACGCUGAGGCUCGAAGGUGCGGGUAUCGAACAGGAUUAGAUACCCUGGUAGUCCGCACGGUAAACGAUGAAUACUCGCAGUUCGGCCUUUUAGGUCGAGUUGUCCAGCGAAAGCGUUAAGUAUUCCACCUGGGGAGUACGCCGGCAACGGUGAAACUCAAAGGAAUUGACGGGGGCCCGCACAAGCGGAGGAACAUGUGGUUUAAUUCGAU
rnacentral:rRNA from 1 species